UUGGUUAGCACCAGGACCUGAGUUAGUUCACAUGUACUGAAUAAAGAACCUAAUAAUGCUGCAUGAAUGCUUAGCAGCACAAUGAACUAGCAAGAGGCUUACAUAAGGCAGAACAAUCAGGGCUGGCCUUUGGGGUGUGUGAGCUGUGUAGCCGCACUGGGCACCAUGGUAGCAGGAGUGCCAUGCGGCCAACAAAGCUCGCACAUGUACUGGUUGACAAGUAUGAAGGAUGUGAAGGUAACUGUCUGCCUGCACCUGUGUGUGUGUGACUGUCUGUAACUGUGUGUAUGAAAUUGUGAACAUAGAU